rnacentral:rRNA from 1 species
AAUUCCAAUACCAACAUAUAAGCGCGAUGUGGGGACGCAUAGAGUUAGUCGAGCUCACUGAUGGAAUAGUGGGUCGAAGGAUGUAGGUUGUUAAGUAGGCAAAUCCGCUUAACGUUAGACCGAGAUCUUACAGGCUCUUGACACUCUUCGGAGGAGAUGGAGAAUCGAUGAUACUGUCGUGCCAAGAAAAGCCACUAAGUUUAUUAUAUGUCGCCCGUACCGUAAACCGACACAGGUGGGUGGGAUGAGUAUUCUAAGGCGCGUGGAAGAACCCUCUUUAAGGAACUCUGCAAAAUAGCACCGUAUCUUCGGUAUAAGGUGUGCCUACUUUGGUAUAUGGACCUGCUCCAAAAAGCUAGAGAGGUUGCAACAAAGAGUCCCUCCCGACUGUUUACCAAAAACACAGCACUUUGCUAACACGUAAGUGGAUGUAUAAGGUGUGACGCCUGCCCGGUGCUCGAAGGUUAAUUGAUGAUGUCAGCGCAAGCGAAGCAUUUGAUCGAAGCCCGAGUAAACGGCGGCCGUAACAAUAACGGUCCUAAGGUAGCGAAAUUCCUUGUCAGUUAAAUACUGACCUGCAUGAAUGGCGUAACGAGAUGGGAGCUGUCUCAAAGAGGGAUCCAGUGAAAUUGUAGUGGAGGUGAAAAUUCCUCCUACCCGCGGAAAGACGGAAAGACCCCGUGCACCUUUACUACAGCUUGACACUGUAGCUUGGAUAUUCAUGUGCAGGAUAGGUGGGAGGCUAUGAUGACUAGACGCAAGUAGAGUCGGAGCCAUCCUUGAGAUACCACCCUUGAAUAUUUGAGUUACUAACUGCGAUGAGUUAUCCUCAUUCAGGACAAUGUCUGGUGGGUAGUUUGACUGGGGCGGUCGCCUCCUAAAUAGUAACGGAGGCUUACAAAGGUUAGUUCAAAGCGGAUGGAAAUCGCUUGUUGAGUAUAAUGGCAUAAACUAGCUUGACUGUGAGACCUACAAGUCGAACAGAGACGAAAGUCGGUCAUAGUGAUCCGGUGGUUCUGCGUGGAAGGGCCAUCGCUCAAAGGAUAAAAGGUACGCCGGGGAUAACAGGCUGAUCUCCCCCAAGAGCUCACAUCGACGGGGAGGUUUGGCACCUCGAUGUCGGCUCAUCGCAUCCUGGGGCUGUAGUCGGUCCCAAGGGUAUGGCUGUUCGCCAUUUAAAGCGGUACGCGAGCUGGGUUCAGAACGUCGUGAGACAGUUCGGUCCCUAUCUUCCGUGGGCGUAGGAAAGUUGAAGAGAUUUGUCCCUAGUACGAGAGGACCGGGAUGAACCAACCACUGGUGUACCAAUUGUUCUGCCAAGAGCAUCGUUGGGUAGCCACGUUGGGAUGUGAUAAGAGCUGAAAGCAUCUAAGCUCGAAGCCAACUCUAGAUGAACUUUCCCUGAAGUUCCCAGCAAGACUAGCUGGUUGAUAGGCUGGAUGUGUAAUGGGUGUAAGCCCUUUAGCUGACCAGUACUAAUAGAACGUUUGGCU